rnacentral:misc_RNA from 1 species
AAAGUCGUAACAAGGUUUCCGUAGGUGAACCUGCGGAAGGAUCAUCAAUAUAUUUUGGAUAUUUCCAAGAGCGUGUGAACGGUAUAUGAGUGGGCUGUGUGUGGUUGGCAGGCGACCCGCGAGGCCGAGAGGCCGAGUGAAUGGUCAGCCGACGCGAGUCGGUUACCGUUCCGUCACGGGGCCUGCCACCUGCAUUGCCCGCAUUCUACUUCCAAGCACUAGUCACGAAUACGUACUGACUCUAAUAUUUUAAUCAACACAACUUUCAACAAUGGAUCUCUUGGCUCUC